GCCUGGGAGUACGGUCGCAAGAUUAAACUCAAAGGAAUUGACGGGGACCCGCACAAGCGGUGGAUGAUGUGGAUUAAUUCGAUGCAACGCGAAAAACCUUACCUACCCUUGACAUGGCCAGGAACCUCGCAGAGAUGUGAGGGUGCUCGAAAGAGAGCCUGGACACAGGUGCUGCAUGGCUGUCGUCAGCUCGUGUCGUGAGAUGUUGGGUUAAGUCCCGCAACGAGUGCAACCCUUGUCACUAGUUGCUACGAAAGGGCACUCUAGUGAGACUGCCGGUGACAAACCGGAGGAAGGUGGGGAUGACGUCAAGUCCUCAUGGCCCUUAUGGGUAGGGCUUCACACGUCAUACAAUGGUCGGUACAGAGGGUUGCCAACCCGCGAGGGGGAGCCAAUCCCAGAAAACCGGUCGUAGUCCGGAUUGCAGUCUGCAACUCGACUGCAUGAAGUCGGAAUCGCUAGUAAUCGCGGAUCAGCAUGUCGCGGUGAAUACGUUCCCGGGUCUUGUACACACCGCCCGUCACACCAUGGGAGUGGGUUUCACCAGAAGCCGUUUGCCUAACCGUAAGGAGGGCGGCGACCACGGUGAGAUUCAUGACUGGGGUGA
rnacentral:rRNA from 1 species